UACGUAGGCAGCGAGCGUUGUUCGGAGUUACUGGGCGUAAAGAGUGCGUAGGCGGUUUUCUAAGUUUGGUGUGAAAUCUCCCGGCUUAACUGGGAGGGUGCGCCGAAAACUGGAAGGCUUGAGUUUGGGAGAGGGACGCGGAAUUCCAGGUGUAGCGGUGAAAUGCGUAGAUAUCUGGAGGAACACCGGUGGCGAAGGCGGCAUCCUGGACCAAUAUUGACGCUGAGGAGCGAAAGCCAGGGGAGCAAACGGG
rnacentral:rRNA from 1 species